rnacentral:rRNA from 1 species
AGUAACGCGUGAGGAACCUGCCUCAAAGAGGGGGACAACAGUUGGAAACGACUGCUAAUACCGCAUAAGCCCACGGUGCCGCAUGGCACAGAGGGAAAAGGAGCAAUCCGCUUUGAGAUGGCCUCGCGUCCGAUUAGCUAGUUGGUGAGGUAACGGCCCACCAAGGCGACGAUCGGUAGCCGGACUGAGAGGUUGAACGGCCACAUUGGGACUGAGACACGGCCCAG